AAACCAUGCACCGAAGCUGCGGCAGCGACACUGUGUGUUGUUGGGUAGGGGAGCGUUCUGUAAGCCUGUGAAGGUGUGCUGUGAGGCAUGCUGGAGGUAUCAGAAGUGCGAAUGCUGACAUAAGUAACGAUAAAGCGGGUGAAAAGCCCGCUCGCCGGAAGACCAAGGGUUCCUGUCCAACGUUAAUCGGGGCAGGGUGAGUCGACCCCUAAGGCGAGGCCGAAAGGCGUAGUCGAUGGGAAACAGGUUAAUAUUCCUGUACUUGGUGUUACUGCGAAGGGGGGACGGAGAAGGCUAUGUUGGCCGGGCGACGGUUGUCCCGGUUUAAGCGUGUAGGCUGGUUUUCCAGGCAAAUCCGGAAAAUCAAGGCUGAGGCGUGAUGACGAGGCACUACGGUGCUGAAGCAACAAAUGCCCUGCUUCCAGGAAAAGCCUCUAAGCAUCAGGUAACAUCAAAUCGUACCCCAAACCGACACAGGUGGUCAGGUAGAGAAUACCAAGGCGCUUGAGAGAACUCGGGUGAAGGAACUAGGCAAAAUGGUGCCGUAACUUCGGGAGAAGGCACGCUGAUAUGUAGGUGAAGUCCCUCGCGGAUGGAGCUGAAAUCAGUCGAAGAUACCAGCUGGCUGCAACUGUUUAUUAAAAACACAGCACUGUGCAAACACGAAAGUGGACGUAUACGGUGUGACGCCUGCCCGGUGCCGGAAGGUUAAUUGAUGGGGUCAGCGCAAGCGAAGCUCUUGAUCGAAGCCCCGGUAAACGGCGGCCGUAACUAUAACGGUCCUAAGGUAGCGAAAUUCCUUGUCGGGUAAGUUCCGACCUGCACGAAUGGCGUAAUGAUGGCCAGGCUGUCUCCACCCGAGACUCAGUGAAAUUGAACUCGCUGUGAAGAUGCAGUGUACCCGCGGCAAGACGGAAAGACCCCGUGAACCUUUACUAUAGCUUGACACUGAACAUUGAGCCUUGAUGUGUAGGAUAGGUGGGAGGCUUUGAAGUGUGGACGCCAGUCUGCAUGGAGCCGACCUUGAAAUACCACCCUUUAAUGUUUGAUGUUCUAACGUGGACCCGUGAUCCGGGUUGCGGACAGUGUCUGGUGGGUAGUUUGACUGGGGCGGUCUCCUCCUAAAGAGUAACGGAGGAGCACGAAGGUUGGCUAAUCCUGGUCGGACAUCAGGAGGUUAGUGCAAUGGCAUAAGCCAGCUUGACUGCGAGCGUGACGGCGCGAGCAGGUGCGAAAGCAGGUCAUAGUGAUCCGGUGGUUCUGAAUGGAAGGGCCAUCGCUCAACGGAUAAAAGGUACUCCGGGGAUAACAGGCUGAUACCGCCCAAGAGUUCAUAUCGACGGCGGUGUUUGGCACCUCGAUGUCGGCUCAUCACAUCCUGGGGCUGAAGUAGGUCCCAAGGGUAUGGCUGUUCGCCAUUUAAAGUGGUACGCGAGCUGGGUUUAGAACGUCGUGAGACAGUUCGGUCCCUAUCUGCCGUGGGCGCUGGAGAACUGAGGGGGGCUGCUCCUAGUACGAGAGGACCGGAGUGGACGCAUCACUGGUGUUCGGGUUGUCAUGCCAAUGGCACUGCCCGGUAGCUAAAUGCGGAAGAGAUAAGUGCUGAAAGCAUCUAAGCACGAAACUUGCCCCGAGAUGAGUUCUCCCUGACCCUUUAAGGGUCCUGAAGGAACGUUGAAGACGACGACGUUGAUAGGCCGGGUGUGUAAGCGCAGCGAUGCGUUGAGCUAACCGGUACUAAUGAACCGUGAGGCUUAACCUUACAACGCCGAAGGUGUUU
rnacentral:rRNA from 1 species